UACGAAGGGGGCGAGCGUUGUUCGGAUUUACUGGGCGUAAAGGGCGCGCAGGCGGUCUUGAAAGUCAGGCGUGAAAGCCCCGGGCUUAACCUGGGAAUUGCGCUUGAUACUCUGAGACUGGAGUACGGGAGAGGGGAGUGGAAUUCCCAGUGUAGAGGUGAAAUUCGUAGAUAUUGGGAAGAACACCAGUGACGAAGGCGGCUCUCUGGACCGGAACUGACGCUGAGGCGCGAAAGCGUGGGGAGCAAACAGG
rnacentral:rRNA from 1 species